rnacentral:tRNA from 1 species
GCCUGGGUGGCUCAGUCGGUUAAGCGUCCGACUUCAGCUCAGGUCACGAUCUCGCGGUUUGUGGGUUCGAGCCCCACGUCGGGCU